rnacentral:rRNA from 1 species
UUCGACACACUAUCAUUAACUGAAUCCAUAGGUUAAUGAGGCGAACCGGGGGAACUGAAACAUCUAAGUACCCCGAGGAAAAGAAAUCAACCGAGAUUCCCCCAGUAGCGGCGAGCGAACGGGGAGCAGCCCAGAGCCUGAAUCAGUGUGUGUGUUAGUGGAAGCGUCUGGAAAGGCGCGCGAUACAGGGUGACAGCCCCGUACACAAAAAUGCACAUACUGUGAGCUCGAUGAGUAGGGCGGGACACGUGGUAUCCUGUCUGAAUAUGGGGGGACCAUCCUCCAAGGCUAAAUACUCCUGACUGACCGAUAGUGAACCAGUACCGUGAGGGAAAGGCGAAAAGAACCCCGGCGAGGGGAGUGAAAAAGAACCUGAAACCGUGUACGUACAAGCAGUGGGAGCACGCUUAGGCGUGUGACUGCGUACCUUUUGUAUAAUGGGUCAGCGACUUAUAUUCUGUAGCAAGGUUAACCGAAUAGGGGAGCCGAAGGGAAACCGAGUCUUAACUGGGCGUUAAGUUGCAGGGUAUAGACCCGAAACCCGGUGAUCUAGCCAUGGGCAGGUUGAAGGUUGGGUAACACUAACUGGAGGACCGAACCGACUAAUGUUGAAAAAUUAGCGGAUGACUUGUGGCUGGGGGUGAAAGGCCAAUCAAACCGGGAGAUAGCUGGUUCUCCCCGAAAGCUAUUUAGGUAGCGCCUCGUGAAUUCAUCUCCGGGGGUAGAGCACUGUUUCGGCAAGGGGGUCAUCCCGACUUACCAACCCGAUGCAAACUGCGAAUACCGGAGAAUGUUAUCACGGGAGACACACGGCGGGUGCUAACGUCCGUCGUGAAGAGGGAAACAACCCAGACCGCCAGCUAAGGUCCCAAAGUCAUGGUUAAGUGGGAAACGAUGUGGGAAGGCCCAGACAGCCAGGAUGUUGGCUUAGAAGCAGCCAUCAUUUAAAGAAAGCGUAAUAGCUCACUGGUCGAGUCGGCCUGCGCGGAAGAUGUAACGGGGCUAAACCAUGCACCGAAGCUGCGGCAGCGACGCUGAUGCGUUGUUGGGUAGGGGAGCGUUCUGUAAGCCUGUGAAGGUGUGCUGUGAGGCAUGCUGGAGGUAUCAGAAGUGCGAAUGCUGACAUAAGUAACGAUAAAGCGGGUGAAA